rnacentral:rRNA from 1 species
AUUGAACGCUGGCGGCAGGCUUAACACAUGCAAGUCGAACGAGCGGCGGACGGGUGAGUAAUGUCUGGGAAACUGCCUGAUAGAGGGGGAUAACUACUGGAAACAGUGGCUAAUACCGCAUACCAUCAGAUGUGCCCAGAUGGGAUUAGCUCGUAGGUGGGGUAAUGGCUCACCUAGGCGACGAUCCCUAGCUGGUCUGAGAGGAUGACCAGCCACACUGGAACUGAGACACGGUCCAGACUCCUACGGGAGGCAGCAGUGGGGAAUAUUGCACAAUGGGCGAAAGCCUGAUGCAGCCAUGCCGCGUGUGUGAAGAAGGCCUUCGGGUUGUAAAGCACUUUCAGCGGGGAGGCGGUACCCGCAGAAGAAGCACCGGCUAACUCCGUGCCAGCAGCCGCGGUAAUUC